rnacentral:rRNA from 1 species
UACAGAGGGUGCGAGCGUUAAUCGGAUUUACUGGGCGUAAAGGGCGCGUAGGUGGUAAAGCAAGUAAGAUGUGAAAGCCCUGGGCUUAACCUGGGAAGUGCAUCUUAAACUGCUUAACUUGAGUAUGGUAGAGGGUAGUGGAAUUUCCGGUGUAGCGGUGAAAUGCGUAGAGAUCGGAAGGAACGCCAGUGGUGAAGACGACUACCUGGACCAAUACUGACACUGAGGCGCGAAAGCGUGGGGAUCAAACAGG